GCCAACGAUGACGAACGCGUCGCCACGCGCCUUCAAGAGUGAAUCAUCGAUGGGAAGGUCUUGGCGGUAGCAGUGCUGUGCUGCGCGGCUGCUAUGAGUACUCCGCCGCCAAAUGCAGGUGAGCUGUGCCCUUCUCCCACCGGGAGAAGGUGCCCGUAGGGCGGAUGAGGGUGCGCCGCAGGUAUCCACCGGCGACCAGCGAUGAGGAACGCGUCGCCACGCGCCUUCAACCCUGCAUCAUCGAUGGCGAAGGUUUAGCGGUGGAAGUCUGCUGCCGCGCGUGAGUCGGUGGCUUUGCCUCGUACCCUCACCCCAACC
rnacentral:sRNA from 1 species